UCCAGACUCCUACGGGAGGCAGCAGUGGGGAAUAUUGCACAAUGGGGGAAACCCUGAUGCAGCGACGCCGCGUGAGCGAUGAAGUAUUUCGGUAUGUAAAGCUCUAUCAGCAGGGAAGAAGAUGACGGUACCUGACUAAGAAGCCCCGGCUAACUACGUGCCAGCAGCCGCGGUAAUACGUAGGGGGCAAGCGUUAUCCGGAUUUACUGGGUGUAAAGGGGGCGCAGACGGCAGCGCAAGCCAGGAGUGAAAGCCCGGGGCCCAACCCCGGGACUGCUCUUGGAACUGCGCGGCUGGAGUGCAGGAGGGGCAGGCGGAAUUCCUGGUGUAGCGGUGAAAUGCGUAGAUAUCAGGAGGAACACCAGUGGCGAAGGCGGCUUACUGGACUGUAACUGACGUUGAGGCUCGAAAGCGUGGGGAGCAAACAGGAUUAGAUACCCCAGUACC
rnacentral:rRNA from 1 species